GUUACAUCCAGUGGCACUGAGUGAGGAGAAUCGGUCAGUGCGGAGUCCACGUUUCAACCAGGAUCGAUCAAGACUGGUGUAUCUGGACAACCCAACCAGAGGAGGACACAGCAAGUGUUCACGGCUCAUGUUGUAUGACUGGAACACAAAGAAAACAAGUGUAGUUCAGGACAUAGUAGAGUCCGCUAAAGUUAUUACAAAACUGACAAAGAAAAGCGAACAGGUUCAUUUACAGCAGUACCACCAGGCCUAUCUGAUUAUGGCUUGGGGUCUCCAAAUAGGUCUUGCACCUUAUUCUAGAAGUAAGGUGAAUAACAAGGCCUCUCCACCAAGUCAAAAUGGAGUGAUGAAGAAAUUAAUGUCCUGAUGAAGGACUGGACAAACAUCAGACCAUUCGACAUCAUUUUGGCAGGAGUGUGCUAUUCUCCUAUAGCCAAAAUUUGGACCAAACAGAAGAAGCAUGUCAUGUCGUCUUCGAUAUCGAGGUCUAACUGCGAGUUGAGAAGAGCCAGAUAUCAACACAUGUGAUCUUCGUUGCAGCCCCCUAGUAAUGACUACCUGAAGCGUAGAGUGCCAGACUGAGCCAGUCAUUCCAGUUGUCCUCCUUGACAGGUCAAAGUUUCUUCCACCUGCUUGUUGCUCAAACUUCAGCACACAGUUAAGGACACAAGAGUAAAUCCCAACUCAAGUCAAACGGGAAAGGUCUUUGGACUUGACACCACCUGCAAAAUCACUUGAAGAAAAGGCCAGGCAGUUUCUUUCAUUAGGGAAGGAUGCAGACAUUGAUGAGGAUUUACAGGAAGACAUUCUGUGCCUUAUGUACCGCAGUCAGUCAGUCGCUUGUCUUGUAAAACAUAUUUUCAGGUUUGAUAAACUGAGGAAAACAA